GAUGAGGACGAAGGGUCUAUACCCUUCUCCUUUCUCUGUCUGAACAGAUCUGAGAGCUUGAAGCUCUCUUCAAUACUCUACCGAUCUCUCUCUCAAGCCUAUACCUACAUCAUUUUCCUAUCAUUCUUUUGCCUUCAUCACUUGCUAUUAAACCAAUUUAGAGAUUUUUUCUAUAAUCGGGUCUAGAUUCCGAUGAUCCGUCUAUCACUACAUCGUCUCAAAUUUUUCAUUUCUGGACCAGAUCUGUGCUUUCAACCUCUUUUUGAGCUUGAAAUCUGGAUGUAUUGAAGCUAGUGUUCUCAUUCAAGGGCAAAAAUUGAUGAUUUUGAGGAAUUGGAGAGCAGACCAUAAUCCCAAAGCGAGCAUGUAGAAGACAAAUAAUGCAUUUCUAACAUCUAAGAGAUUAGGAAAACCAGCAGGGCAAUAAGAAGCAGUGGAGAGGCACAAUUAGAGUUGUAACAGUUUUGCAAGGUAAUCUGACAUUCCGUGAACCAAACGACCCCUUACUGCUCUAACGCGAAUUGCCCUGAGCUGGUGUUGAGGUUUGAUGUCUUUCACAAGUAUGAACAUUGAAGGCAUUGUGUUCAACAAAAUGUGAUUUCAAAUGCUCUGUUAGUAAACAAAUCUUCGGAAGGAAUAAUUUGCACCAAGAAGACGUUUAUUUAUAGAGUUUGAAGCGUUGCAAAUUUCAAAUGAAUGAACAGCAGCCUGUGUAUGGGAAAUACACAAUUUCUUUUUAUGUAUUAAAUGCAGAGUCAAACUCUGCGUAUUCUAUGUAUAAUUUGUAAUUUUUUUUUUAUCAUGUGAGCAUCUCUCUAUUCAAUCUUUGGUUAUCCGA